CCAGCAACUUGGAGGAAUGUAUAGCAAUAGCUGAUUGCACCAACAAAUAGUCGAUGCAAUAUUGACUCUGUCAAAUAAAAUUCUAGGUAGAAUUAUGAUAAUGACAUUGUCUGCCUAUAUGUCUUGACCAAAUUACGUGCCAGCAGUCGCGGUAAUACGUAGAAGACUAGUGUUAUUCAUCUUUAAUAGGUUUAAAGGGUACCUAGACGGUAAAUCAAGCCUUGGCAGGGACUAAUUUACUAGAGUUACUUACGAGGGGGUAUUAAAGUACUGCAGGUGUAGAGAUGAAAUUCUGUCAUACCUCUUUUCGAAAGAAAAAUUAUGGCACAGGUAUAGGUGAAAGCAUCCCCUUAUGUGAUAACUGACGUUGAAGGACGAAGGCUUUGUGUCGCGAACAGGAUUAGAUACCCCAGUAGUCAAAGCAGAAAAUGAUGAAUGUCAUAGAUUAGAUAAAUAGUUUAUUCUAUAAAUGAAAAUGUAAGCAUUCCACCUCAAGAGUAAUUCGGCAACAUUGGAACUGAAAUCAUUAGACCGUUUCUGAAACCAGUAGUGAAGUAUGUUGUUUAAUUUGAUGAUCCGCAAAAAACCUUACCACAAUUUGAAUAUUUAUAUUUAUCUUUUUUUCGUAAAAAAAUAAAAACGUAAUAUAUUUACAAGCGUUGCACGGCUGUCUUCAGUUAAUGUCGCGAGACUUUGGUUAGUUCCAUUAAAUUAACGUAAACCCUUACUUUAUUUUUAUAUAAAGUAGUUCCCCGCUAUAUUGGAUAUGAUAACAGGGACUAAGACAAGUC
rnacentral:rRNA from 1 species